rnacentral:lncRNA from 1 species
UUUUUAUGAGAGAGUGAAAGCACAGUUCUGUAAUAUAUGAAGAAAUCUGUGGAUUCUGUAGAGACAGGAACAGCGUGACAUAAAUCUCAGGAAGGCAUCUUAUUUCACAAAUUUCCCAUUUGAUUCCUGCUAUUGUGUGAGGCUGGGCUCUUCAUCUCUAUCAAAAUCAGUCUGGAAGCCUUCUGAGAUUGCCUCUAGAAAAGCCAAUACUCCCGCGGAUUGGACCACAGAUGCUGUGACACCACUGACUUGUCCUGAUCUGGAGAGGCUCUGGCUUGCUCAGCCUGCUGUUGAGUUUGCAAUGAGAGUGUAAAGUCAAGACAGCUACAGAUGCUAACAGGACAUGGACACCUUUUCAGAUAACUGACUUCAUCUGUCUGCCUGUUUAUGUGGAGAGCUGAUUAUCAGCCAUGUGCAAAUACUGGGGAACCGAUCUGAUCUCUGUGAUGUUUUACACUACAGGCGGAGCAGAGCCAUCUUUCUAUCCAACAUUCACUCAGCGAGGCAGGAAAUAUAAUUAAGCUUUCAUGCAUAUUCCCAUGGUACCCUGCACAGUCAAUCAUUGAAAAAAAGUCAGUGCCACAAGAGCUUGUUUGUUUGAAGACAUCACCUAAGAACUUAAGAGCUCUGAGAGGCAGGAGAAGGGAUGUAAGCCAUGUGAGGCAUGGGUAGGAGUGGUGGGUUCCUUAGGGGCGUGAAAACUGGGCUCAAGGUGAUUGUGGGCAAUUAUUCUGCAAUGCACAUAAAGUAUAUUUAGUCCAAUAAGCACAAUCCAGAGAGUUUUUCAUGGGAAAAUUUCACUCCAACAUUGCAGUGCCUAAAAGAAUGGAAAUUACUUGAAAAUGGUCAGUAUUGCUAGAGUAUAAUAAUUGCUUGUUAGGCCAAAUCUAUUGUGCGGAGGACUUUACAGAAAAUAUUUAUAGACACUUUUAAUACAAAGAAAUGUUAUAGGACCAAGAAUUAUAAUAUCUAAUUUGAAUUCCAGCUUUGUCAAUUAUUGUGUAAACUUGAGCAAAUUACUGAACCACUAAAACAUCAAUUUCUUCAUCCAUAAAAUAGGUAUGGUAAGAUAUAAUCAUACUAUUGUUCUGUGGCUCAAACUAAACAAUGUAAUAUAUUUAAAGUAACUCAUAGACUACCUAGACCUCAAUAAGCUGUGAUUGGUUUUAUUAAUCUUUUUGUUGUUAUUCACGAAACACUAGUUCAAAUACAUAUAGUGAAUGCAUUUAGAAAGCUAUACAUACUAGACUCUCUUUUUGAUAGUUACAGUGCAUGUACGAAUUUUAAAGGCUCUGAAAUGGUCUAAGUUAAAAACAAUAACAAAAUAGCAAUAGGAAAAAAAAAAAAAGGACACCUGUGUGGUUAACCCAGUAUUUUCCAAAUGUAUUUGAAAAUAAGCCCUGUUUUUUUUCUUUUCUUUUUUUUUGCAGAGUCUCACUCUGUUGCUCAGGCUGGAGUGCAGUGUCAUGAUCUUGGCUCGCUGCAACCUCCACCUUCCAGGAUCAAGUGAUUCUCAUGCCUCAGCCUCCCAAGUAACUGGGAUUACAGCCUACUUACCUGUGGUGACCCUGGAUUCUGUACAACUGAUUUGUUGAUACAGAAGAGAGUCAUGCAAACUACAGAAAUCCACCCAAAACCGAGAGAAGGAGAGUAUCUGUUUUCAGAGGAGCUGUCUGCUUUGGGAGGAAGUUCCAGAAGUGAGCCUCAGGAAUUACAACAUUAAUUGAGAAACUGAAUGAUUAAAAUUGUAGUAACAAAUAGCUUUCCUUGGAACUGUCCCAGAAUCUAUUAUUUUUUUUUCCUUUUCUGUCAUUAACAAAAACACCAACAAAAAUCAUCAUGUGUGAAAGAGGUACUAUAAUAAAAACCCUAGCAGUGUCUACUGCGUGCUUCGUGCAAGGUAUCCAUGAUGGUCUUAACUCACCACAGAAGAACUUGGGGGAGUGUGGUCAAUGCCAGGGGUUCACGGGG